GUUCGUAGGUGACUGCGGAGGAUCAUUAUUGAAUUCGGCCUUUUGGCCUUAUACACAUAAUAUACACUGUGAACCGUGGCUUCGGCCCAAACUUGAAGUCUUGAAUGUAAUAUAUCAUAACAAAAUACAACUUUUAACAACGGAUCUCUUGGCUCUCGCAUCGAUGAAGAACGCAGCGAAAUGCGAUAAGUAAUGUGAAUUGCAGAAUUCAGUGAAUCAUCGAAUCUUUGAACGCACCUUGCGCCCUCUGGUAUUCCGGAGGGCAUGCCUGUUUGAGUGUCAUGAACACCUCACCCCCUCGGGUUUCCGAUCGGGUGGAUUUGGGUGCUGCCAGUUACAUGGCUCGCCUUAAAAGCAUUAGCGGUUGUUGACUUAAUAAGUUUCGUCUUGUCGACCGCUCCUAAUCUCCUUCGGGAUGUCUCUAGGGACACUUCAUGAUCUGACCUCAAAUCAGGUAGGACUACCCGCUGAACUUAAGCAUAUCAAUAAGCGGAGGAAAAGAAACUAACAAGGAUUCCCUUAGUAACGGCGAGUGAACCGGGAAGAGCUCAAAUUUGUAAUCUGGCGUCCUUCGGGCGUCCGAGUUGUAAUCUAUAGAGGUGUUUUCCGCGCCGGACCACGUUUAAGUCUCCUGGAACGGAGUAUCAAAGAGGGUGACAAUCCCGUGCUUGACGUGACGACCGGUGCUAUGUGAUACACUCUCAACGAGUCGAGUUGUUUGGGAAUGCAGCUCUAAACGGGUGGUAAAUUCCAUCUAAGGCUAAAUAUUGGCGAGAGACCGAUAGCGAACAAGUACCGUGAGGGAAAGAUGAAAAGCACUUUGGAAAGAGAGUUAAACAGCACGUGAAAUUGUUAAAAGGGAAACGAUUGAAGUCAGUCGUGCACUUGGUAUUCAGCCGUCUCUGGCGGUGUAUUUGCCUUGUGCGGGUCAACAUCAGUUCUGACCGGCGGAAAAGGGCUGGAAGAAGGUGGCACCCUCGGGUGUGUUAUAGCUUCCUGUCGUAUACGUCGGUUGGGACUGAGGAAUGCAGCUUGCCGCAAGGCCGGGGUUCGCCCACGUUCAAGCUUAGGAUGUUGACAUAAUGGCUUUAAACGACCCGCUG
rnacentral:rRNA from 1 species